GUGGGGAAUUUUGGACAAUGGGCGCAAGCCUGAUCCAGCAAUGCCGCGUGCAGGAAGAAGGCCUUCGGGUUGUAAACUGCUUUUGUACGGAACGAAACGGCUCUGGUUAAUACCCGGGGCUAAUGACGGUACCGUAAGAAUAAGCACCGGCUAACUACGUGCCAGCAGCCGCGGUAAUACGUAGGGUGCAAGCGUUAAUCGGAAUUACUGGGCGUAAAGCGUGCGCAGGCGGUUUUGUAAGACAGGCGUGAAAUCCACGGGCUCAACCUGGGAAUUGCGCUUGGGACUGCAAGGCUGGAGUGCGGCAGAGGGGGAUGGAAUUCCGCGUGUAGCAGUGAAAUGCGUAGAUAUGCGGAGGAACACCGAUGGCGAAGGCAAUCCCCUGGGCCUGCACUGACGCUCAUGCACGAAAGCGUGGGGAGCAAACAGGAUUAGAAACCCGGGUAGUCC
rnacentral:rRNA from 1 species